GGAGGCCAAUGACGAUCCUCAAAUAUAAAUAUAUUUGCCUACAUUGGUUGAUUCUCUAAUCCAUGAUAAGAAGAAUAUGCAACCUUCUGAGGCCUCA
rnacentral:snoRNA from 1 species